rnacentral:rRNA from 1 species
GGUUGACCUCGGAUCAGGUAGGGAUACCCGCUGAACUUAAGCAUAUCAAUAAGCGGAGGAAAG